AAAGAGCGCGGUUACCCGGCGGCUCUUCGGCACCUCCCCGGCGCGGACGGGCUCUCCGUGUGAGGCCAGAGGAUACAGAGGCGGGCACGGCUGUGAGAAGGGCGGUGUAAAUUUAAACACAUGAAAGGGCCGAGCUGCUAAAGCCAAGGAUUUUAGUGCGAAUAGAAAUCAGAAAUAAUUUUCAGAAUGUGCUCGAAUAGACAAAUAAAAGCCAAAGCAUGAGUAAA